UUUUGUAGAUAAUUUAAGGUCUAGCCUGCCCACUGAAAUUUUAAAUGGCCGUGGUAUUUUGACCGUGCUAAGGUAGCAUAAUCAUUAGUUUUUUAAUUAAAAACUGGAAUGAAAGGUUGGAUGAGAAAAUAGCUGUCUCUAUUAAAUUUAAUUAGAAUUUUAUUUUUAAGUUAAAAAGCUUAAUUAUUAUUAAAAGACGAGAAGACCCUAUAGAGUUUAAUUAUUUAGUAAAAAUUAUAUUUUAGUAUUAAUUUAUUUAUUUUAUUAAAUAAUUUAAUUGGGGUGAUUGAAAAAUUUAAUUAACUUUUUUUAUUUAAGAACAUUAAUUUAUGAAUAAAUGAUCCAAUAUUUUUGAUUAUAAGAUAAAAUUACCUUAGGGAUAACAGCGUAAUUUUUUUAGAAAGUUCAUAUUAAAAAAAAAGAUUGCGACCUCGAUGUUGGAUUAAAAUAAAUUUUUGGUGUAGAAGCUAAAAUAUUAGGUCUGUUCGACCUUUAAAAUUUUA
rnacentral:rRNA from 1 species